AUUGAACGCUGGCGGCAUGCCUUACACAUGCAAGUCGAACGGCAGCACGGGAGCAAUCCUGGUGGCGAGUGGCGAACGGGUGAGUAAUAUAUCGGAACGUGCCCAGUCGUGGGGGAUAACGUAGCGAAAGCUACGCUAAUACCGCAUACGAUCUAUGGAUGAAAGCGGGGGGAUCGCAAGACCUCGCGCGAUUGGAGCGGCCGAUAUCAGAUUAGGUAGUUGGUGAGGUAAAGGCUCGCCAAGCCGACGAUCUGUAGCUGGUCUGAGAGGACGACCAGCCACACUGGGACUGAGACACGGCCCAGACUCCUACGGGAGGCAGCAGUGGGGGAAUUUUGGACAAUGGGCGCAAGCCUGAUCCAGCAAUGCCGCGUGCAGGAUGAAGGCCU
rnacentral:rRNA from 1 species